AUUGAACGCUGGCGGCAGGCUUAACACAUGCAAGUCGAGCGGGGGAGGUUGCUUCGGUAACUGACCUAGCGGCGGACGGGUGAGUAAUGCUUAGGAAUCCGCCUAUUAGUGGGGGACAACAUUCCGAAAGGGAUGCUAAUACCGCAUACGCCCUACGGGGGAAAGCAGGGGAUCUUCGGACCUUGCGCUAAUAGAUGAGCCUAAGUCGGAUUAGCUAGUUGGUGGGGUAAAGGCCUACCAAGGCGACGAUCUGUAGCGGGUCUGAGAGGAUGAUCCGCCACACUGGGACUGAGACACGGCCCAGACUCCUACGGGAGGCAGCAGUGGGGAAUAUUGGACAAUGGGCGGAAGCCUGAUCCAGCCAUGCCGCGUGUGUGAAGAAGGCCUUUUGGUUGUAAAGCACUUUAAGCGAGGAGGAGGCUACUAGUACUAAUACUACUGGAUAGUGGACGUUACUCGCUGAAUAAGCACCGGCUAACUCUGUGCCAGCAGCCGCAGUAAUAC
rnacentral:rRNA from 1 species